CAUCAAGAAGCUAAUUAAGCGUUAACCUUUUAAGUUAAAGAUUGAGAGUCUCCACCCUCUCCUUGAUGA
rnacentral:tRNA from 1 species